GCACCCACGGGUGAGACCCCAAACUCCUCCUAAUGCUGAGCGUUUCUGGAGCUGCCUGUGGUAAUGGAGAACUGUUUCUUUGAAAUACAAAGAACAACUCAGUAAUUAUACGACUCGUCAUAGAGACAUUAGGAGAGCUAUCAGAUGAAACUCUGCAUGCUGAAUCUUUUAAUACUGAAGAGAAUUUUCUGCCCAUGCUAAGCCUGAGCUCACUGGCAGCGCCUCCUGCCUUGCUCCUGCUGCUCCCUGCCUUUCAGAUGAGCGCAUGAAUCACAGUCUAAUAAUAAUUUCUGAAGAGAUCCUUCCUUCCUAGGAAACCACGUUCAGCCACGGUUUAAACUGAAUCCUGUGAAUUUACCAAAUAUUUAGAGAACACAUCUAGAAGCCAAUAGCAAUGUGCUCCCUUUACCUACAGAUGUUGGGCCAGGUACCACCAACCCAGCCCUUCCCACUGAAGGCUCUCCAGCAGUCCCUUUUAAGCUCCCAUUCCCCACUCUGCAGCACAGCACCGAUACCCAGAGACAGUUUUGAACCUUGAAGGCCCACGUGAAGUCUGUGUACUGCAGCCAGUUUGGCAGCAGGCACUUUAAAAAUCAAAGCCAGCUCCACAGCAAUGAUUUGCACGGCACACAGUGCCUCAAAUCAGCGUGCCUCCAUCGUGGAGGAGACGGAUUGCUGCUGCCGUUUCAGGUUUCUUGGGUUUGAGAGAAAUUCACAGCAUCCGAGGAACACGGAGCGUCUGCCAGGCAGUGCUCCCCCAGCACAACAUAAAGGCACAGCCCGACUGGCAGAUGGGUUUCUGCUAUGGGCAGGAUUCACCGGGGCCGCCCCACCCGGACUCUCAGUCAGUGCCCCCAUUACACCUAUGGGGCUCACAGCUCCUCCACGAUAACGGGGCUGCAGUGAGACCUGGCUGCCCACACUGGCUCGUUUAAUUCUGCAGACGAACGGAUGCCCAUAGGAGGAUGCGCAAGUCCAGGGAGGGCAUCUCUGACCAAUUUCAAUUAUUCAACAAGUCAAUCAAGAGCCAAUGCUAAUCUGUUUUCAUCUCAGCUUCAGACGUGGCUACGGCCGCUCCCCCUGAGACGUGUGAAUAAUGAAUGCAGUUGUGCAGUGGGAUGGCUCGGGACACGCACAGCGCUCAGCUGCUGCUCAGAUUCACUGCUCUCUGUCUGCAGCUCAGCCCUGCCUGCCGCCCUGUGCCACGCUCCCCAGCUCAGGCCCCGCUCCGCGUUUCUCAGGGCUUUGUAACAGCCAUGAGCUGACCGCAGCUCUUCGAGGUGCACAGCCCAACGCCUGCACGAAAUCUGUGCACCAUAAACUUGCUGGACCAACAACCCAAAUUGGAAGGUAACGACUCACUGUUAAAAAUACAAUUAAAAUGACUUGCCUACAACUUUGACUGCAAUGUAUAUCUUAUAGAAGGAGCUCAGCGUAAAAGCUGGGCCAUGGGCCAGCGAUUAGGAACAGAACAGCCCCAUGACAUGAAAUCUGAUGAUACAAUGAACUUCUGACCUAUAGCAGAAAUCCGACUGCCACAGCCCGGCUCCUCCAGUGCAGCUCUGCGGGAGAACAGAAGUCCUCAUUCAACGUUCAGUUUUCCCCACCCUUCGCCAAUGGAAUUUUUACAUGAUGUGAAUUAAAUAUGGCAACCUUUGAAGGCAGAAGUUAUAAGCGGCUGCGUGCAGUCCAGGCAUCCUUCUGCUCCUGUAGCCGUUGCCAUCACACCGUGUAUUGGCACAAUGGUGCCAGCAGCAAAAUCAGACUCUGCUGCGUCCGACUCCACUGGGAAUGAAACACUGAGUCCAAUACUUCUGGGCUCAUCACUUUUUGCCCACUUUGGCUUCAUUCUCUGCUCCCAAGACUAAGAUUUAAUCCUAUACUCCUCUCUCAGGAUUCCCAGUACGUGCAGCAAAGCGCAGAGCACCCAGCUAUAUGCCAGCGGUGAGCUGUGGGAGGAGCACCCAACAACCUGGAACGUGUCAGAGCUGCGGAGCACCACGAGCUUUGGGGAGACGUGCCACCAUGCUGGAUGGAGCCCAGCUCAGCAGCGCUCCUUAUCUGAGCUCCUGCUCCACUUUAGGCAAGUGAACUCUUCGCUCAGAAACGCCAACGCACACAGAGCCGGGGGUGCGGAACCGGGCGGCUCCCCCCGCAGCUCUGAUAAGCUAAAAACAGAUGGAAGGUCUAAGCCAGUUACGUGGAGCACAUGAUAAAAUUCCUUGCUAAACUGGGGCCCGAGUCAGUGUGAGCUUAGGGUGGAACUCCAAUAAACGGAGGAGGAAGAACAGGCGCAAGAACGGAGCCAAAGGUUCUCCUGGGGUGAGGGCUGGGCCGGGCGAAUGGGGAAGCAACGUGACCCGACUGAAGGAGGGAUGGUGUGGCUGCAGAGCAGGAAUUUCCUCAUGGGAGCACUGCCAGGAGGGCGAGGAAACAGUUUGUUUUUCGAAGCAUGGAGCGACGAAGAAAGGAGGGGUCGGAACAAAGGUCCUCGAGCGGCGCUGCAGGCACUGCCACUGAGACGGAGCAUUGGUGGUGCUGCGAGCUGUGCUGCCUGAAAGCUUCCUUCUGGCUUUUCGAAGUAGGGUGAAAUAAUAGAGCUCUUCUCUUGCGCACGUCCACGCUCAGCAUUCAGAUCUAUAGCAAUGGCCAGUGGAGCCAGGAACAAAAAUAGCCUGGGCCUAAAAAUCUCAGUGCCAGACUCCAUCCUCGGUUCUGAAGCCCAAGCAUCAGCCAGGUCCGGGCACUAACACAGAUUAGUAGAGCUGUGUGUGCAAGAGCACGGCUUCACUGUGCAAAGACGCAGUAGAGCUGAAAAAUCCAUAAAACCAAAUCCCAACAAUGCCCCAAACAAAGCUGUAAGAGGGCUCUGUGCACUGCGCCAGCUGAAAGCUCAGAGCAGCGGUUUGGGGACGUGUUCCCACUGCAUGGAGACCUCUGUGACUGCACCACCAUUUCAUGGCACCAUCUGCAAUAGUUAGAGCCCAGAAAUGGGAACUUCCGCUCAGAGGAGACAGCCACGCCUGUGCUCCCCUUCUAGCACAGAAUUGUUGUGAACAGACUCUUCUGCAGCGCACGCAGGGAAGCGCAGCGCUCACACUGAGGCUGGUGCAGGGGGUCGCGGUCUCUUUUCACACCAAGGAUCACAAAUCAGUUCAGAAUUCCUUGUCGCUCGGAAGCUCCAGUCACUGCCGUAUCACAUUGCUGUAGCAGUAGCUUGCAUGGAAAAAUAACAUUCAGGAUAUUUUUAUUUUUAGCUGCCUUAAUGAAAUAUAGCAGAUGGAAAUGAAGAGAAGCCCAUCCUGUGUGACUCGCCAUCUGUCUGGGGAUCAGCAACAGGUCCGUCAUGGAUCACAGCUAGAAAAUUACUGCGUAAUUAACGUCAGUCUUCAAGCUACCUUACAGCUCUUCACUCUACUCUAUUUCAGUGCUGCUCACAGCUCACCUGUGAGAUACGUGCUCACAGCACAGCCCUCAUUUCAGAGCACGAGACCUCAGACUGAGCCCCAGGGGCUCCCGCAGUUCCCAUGGAGGUGGCAGCAGUCUCGGAGCCGUCUGCUCAGUGUGGGACACACCGCUGGGAUCCUAACAGUUAUUCCUGAUGCGGAUGUUUGUAUCCUGCCUGCAGUUCUGCAGCACUCCAAGCGCUGGGCCCAGCAUGAGGCCAUCCCCUCUAUCGGGUUGGUAAUGUCAACAUGGGGUUAAGAGCUCUUAGCCCAAACUCAGCAUCGCCUGUUGGCCGUGCUGCUGGCACACGGCUGUUCCGACUCAGUGCUGGUCAGGAAUCCGGCCCUCCAAACAGCUCCGAUUACCCCUGAGCUCCACUCGCUGGGAGGAAGCCCGUCGUGGUUGGUGACAUCCUAAACAGGCGCGCAGCCCCGAGCGCUGCUAAAGGUCAGAGCCGGGCUCUGUGCAGGAGAUGUUUGCUCAGUGCUGUCAUCGC
rnacentral:lncRNA from 1 species